rnacentral:sRNA from 16 species
GCACCGUAGGGAAGUUUUGCCGUUGUGUUCCCUUACUAUACGUUGAAGGAGAGCGAUGUCAAACGUGUAGGCGGUGG